GCUAAGAGGGGAACAAAAAGAGGAGGGUGGAGGCGGAGCCAGGAAAUGAGCAAGGAGCCUAGAAAUCCUGCUGGAGCUGUGUUAACAUGGAUCUGUCUAAGGGAGCCCAGAGGCGGCGCCCAGGAGCCGGCAGGUGAUGUUGAGCUGGAUCGUCCUCUCCACAGUCACGCCAGCUCCAGGGAACAUCACCUGACAGGGCCUCUGAGGCCAUCUGAGGCACAAGGGAUGGUGGCACCAGGUUCUCAUUGGCUUUCUUCCCAGACUAAGGAGCUGUAAGUGACCUUUGAUUGCAACAGAAAGUCUCCUGACCUGAUCAGCAUGAAAAAGUCCCAGAGUCACUGUGAACUCUCUUCAACUGGGUGCAAUCUCAUCUCUCUUGGACAGUUCUCAGUGACUCGAGACACUGAACCUGGUUACACACUGACAAGGGCAGUGGCCAGGGAUGCAGCUGAACACCCCACUAUGCACAGGACAACCCCCCCAAGAAAGAGUCCUCAAGCUCCAUGUGUCUACAAUGCCCAGGUCAGAAGAGCGGCAGCUGACCCUAGGGCCAGCCAGAGUCUCCAGGGGUGGAAUAUUGGAGGCUGCGUGUGAUAUUUGUGGCAUUAAAGAUGAGCAGGGUAUUGGGUCAACC